GUGCCAGCCGCCGCGGUAAUACCGGCAGCCCAAGUGAUGGCCACUCUUAUUGGGCCUAAAGCGUCCGUAGCCGGCCUCGCAAGUCCGUCGGGAAAUCCAGUAGCUCAACUACUGGGCGUCCGGCGGAAACUACAAGGCUUGGGACCGGAAGGCUCGAGGGGUACGUCCGGGGUAGGAGUGAAAUCCCGUAAUCCCGCACGGACCACCGAUGGCGAAAGCACUUCGAGAAAACGGAUCCGACAGUGAGGGACGAAAGCCAGGGUCUCCAACCGGAUUAGAUACCCGGGUAGUCC
rnacentral:rRNA from 1 species